UGGAAUGGUUCUGCAGGGUGCGGGAAGUGCCAAGACUGGCAGCGGCGCUGGGAUCCUCCGCCCCGAGCGUGGGAACGGGCAGAUACCCACGCUAGCAUCCAGGUAUGAAGAGGAAGGAGGGAGAGUCCUUAAGAAAAAUUGCUAGCAUAGCAGUAUGCCAUGGAAGCACAGUCAAAGUCCCUAGACCUUGUGUUUUGAAAAUGCUGUGAGUCGUAAGAAGACAACAGGGCCAUGUUCAGCAAGGACGUGAUGGCCAAAUAUUUGCCUGUGGAUGAAGGCAUCUGGAGAGUCCAAACCACAAGGUGUUUUGCUUGGAAAAUAGAGCUGAACUCAGGAAGCACCUGUGGAGUGGGGUUGAAAGCCUUGUCAAAUGGCUACGCACUUUGUGCUCCUGGAAAAUAUGCGAUGGGGAUUUUGAGCUAG
rnacentral:lncRNA from 1 species